GUGAUUUCCCGUUAUUUCCCGCGGGUUACACUCCGGGCCGAGCGCAGGAUCGGGAAUUUCAGAUUUUAGGGUGAGCGGAAGUCGUUUUGGUUUUCAGUCCAAUUUUGCAAAACUUUUUUUUAUAAGAGAAACCCAAAAUGUUUUACGACGAGAAAAAUACGCGGAUAAUUACUUCCGAUUAUUUGCAAUAAUUCCAAAAAUAAUAAUAAUCAGGGAGAAAAAGUUUGGUGUAAUUUUGGGAAGUGAUUUAUUAAUGAAGAAGUUUCCGUGGAAUCGUCCCGUUUUGUUACAUUGUUUCUCGGGGGCUCCGCGGAUCCGCGCUCAGCACAAUCUCGAUGAUGUCAGGUGUUUAUACGAUGAUAUUAAGUGUUUGUGUGACGUCCGCGUCACUCCAGCUGUUUUGUGUUAAAUUGUGUUGAUGAAAUGUGAAUUUUCCCCGCAGAAUCACAAUAAAGCGGUGCGUU